CCUACGGGCGGCAGCAGUGAGGAAUAUUGGUCAAUGGGCGCGAGCCUGAACCAGCCAAGUCGCGUGAGGGAAGACGGUCCUAUGGAUUGUAAACCUCUUUAGGCGGGGAGCAAUGCCGGGCACGCGUGCCCGGAGGGAGAGUACCCGCAGAAUAAGCAUCGGCUAACUCCGUGCCAGCAGCCGCGGUAAUACGGAGGAUGCGAGCGUUAUCCGGAUUUAGUGGGGUUAAAGGGUGCGUAGGCGGCUUUGUAAGUCAGCGGUAAAAUGUCCGGGCUCAAACCGGGCCGGCCGUUGAAACUGGGGAUCUUGAGUGGGCGAGAUGUCGGCGGCAUGCGUGGGGUAGCGGUGACAUGCAUAGAUAUCACGCAGAACUCCGAUUGCGAAGGCAGCAUACCGGCGCCCGACUGACGCUGAGGCACGAAAGCGUGGGGAUCGAACAGGAUUAGAUACCCGUGUAGUC
rnacentral:rRNA from 1 species